AGCUUUAAAUAGUUCUCCAGUCCUCCUUUCUAGACUGUUAAGACACCAACUAGUUUCUGGCAGCUUGCAAGGGACUAAAUACAAACAAUCAAGCAGUUAAAAGACAGUGAAGAAAACAGCCAUGGUGGGAAUCGGAAAAACACAACAUUCAAAGAAACAAGACAUGAUUAUCUACUGAAUCAGAAGAGAUGACUUCAUUGAACUGCCUAUCCACAAUGACAUCAAAAUCAGGGAAGUUUACAACUAAUUCUCGUCUCAUCAGCAUGCAAGAGCAAUUUAAUGUGCACACUUCAAACUGAAUUGCUUUGCAGGAAAGAGAACACACGAGAUCAUCAUUCCAGAGAUACUGCUGUUGAAGUCUGAUCCUGGAAUUAUCUUUCUGUCUGCUGAAUCCUGCUGGAUCCCUCCAAAACUCGGAGCAACACCAUCUUUUUUGAGAUGGCAAUAGAUCCCUUCUCAUUCUGCUUUCGCAAAGGAUGACAAUAUCCAUCUUUUCAACAUAUCCGUUCAGUUUUAUUUAUUUUAAUCGCGGCUUUCCAUUUGAGGUUACCAAGCAGAAACUUUUCUUGGAAAUCUGGUGUCACUCAUAAUUCAGAACCUUCUUCUGCUUGUACUAACAUUUAUGGACCACUUUCUUUUUCCCUCCCCUGACUUAGAACCAGAAAAAGGCCAUCUCAGUUACCUCCCUACAAUCCAGAAAUAUGCACAUUAGCAGACGUUGACCAAGAAACCUAAUAUAGUGGACACUACAGUACACACUGGAACUUGGGCCAUGUUGCCCAAUUCCUGAGUGACAUUUCUAUCCAGUUCCUGCCACUGUUAAUCCCAAUCCCAUCAUAACACUAUCAGCAUGAAAAUAUUUUAUAAGGAAUACAGGUAUAUCUAUAUUGCAGGGAAACUGCUUUUUAGUUAAUAUUAUCAGUGAAUUGGGAAAAAUUCACCGUAGGUGACUCCCAAUAAAUAGAACGGGUCAUAAUUCACAAUUAGGUCAGCUUGAUUUAUUACAGUUAGCUAAGAGAGAAAUAUUGGCUGUGAUGUUAUACACUGAUAUCAAAAGGAAAGAAUGUAGAUUUCUCAGUACUAUUCCCCCUUCACAAAAUGUCACUGGACGCUAUCAGCAAUGUCGAAUGUCUAUUUUUAUUUAUGAUAUUUAUAUCCUACUUUAAAAUGACGCACCUCACAUCAGUAUAAAUCAUGGAUGUAUAGCUAGGAGUCCAGGGCUACAAAUUACCUCUCUUUUGUUCAAUUUUAGUCCUACACUUUAUUUUGGUAAUUAACUUAAAGUCAGUAGUCUUACUAAAUAAGGCAGAAGAAUUUGGGAGGUAGGGAAAUCAGUCUACAAAUAAAAGUGAACAGGAUUUAAGAAGCCCAUGAUUUCAAUCCAUUUUCUCAUGGAUAUCUUUGGGUCCAUUCCACAAAUUCUCUCUAUUACCCUUAAUUCUAAGAGUUGUCCACCAUCCCCUUUGAUAUAAUAUAAAGCUUUGUGGUCAACAUGCUUUAUCUAUGACAUUUAUUUCUCUUCCUAUAAAAUCUGCUCAGCUCAGAAAGCCAGUAGAGAAGAUUUGUUAACGUCCCCACCAUGCAGUGAGACAGGACCAAGAUACAAGCCUAUGAAAGUAGGUCUCCCUGGGAAUAAAAUCUACAUCCUUGUUAUUAACGUUUAGAAAACAGUUAAAAAUCUGGUUAUUUAAGCAGGCAUUUGGGAAUUAGAGCUGUGUGAAUUAAAUACCCGGAAGGUGUAUGGUGCUAUUAGUUAUUAUGCAUUUAUGAAUAAUUGAAAUGAAUAUUUUAGAUAGAUUGCAUUGUAUUAUUAUUUUUUGUUAUUUUUUAUGUGUUUCAUUACACUUGUGAGCCUUUUAGAGUCCCCCAACAAAAUGAAUACAUCUUACAACUUUCCCAGUUGAUUAAAAAAAAAAAUGCUUAAAACUCAAGUUCUUACAUUGAACCAGUGGUCUCAAAGCAUCUCUCAAGCCAUAUUUAUAUAUGCAUGCAGGUCAGAAAGGAAGAAGCCUGAAAGCCAUUUGACGCACAGUGUCACUUCUCUAUUGAUAGCUAAAACUAUUUUGCAUCUGCUGAGUCACAGUAUACUUCGAUUUCAACACAAUCUUUCUUCACCCGGUGUUUAGAUUCCACUUAAGUGUGCCAAUGCAUCAUAGCAUGGCUACAUGUUACAAGUGAGCAUGAGAUAGAGAUUCUUUAGAUACUUCCUAUCACCUUAACAGGUGGACAUACUUGAAGCACUGAGCUACAGUUAGACUUCCCUUUUGGGACUUAUUCAAAGCGGCAUUGACUGGUCAUGGAAAGCCAUAAAUCACGAUAUGAGAUCCCAUGGUAUUUUUGUAAAUGAUACCAGAGAUUAAUGUUUUGUUUUGGAACAUGUCAGAUUUAUUCAUAUUAAGCGAAUUGAUAAAAUUAGACAGGGAAAGGAGUAUGGUGGCAUCUCUAGAUAUCAAGUUGCUUACUUAUUCCUUAACUUGGUGACUCUUCGAUCUGAUUCAUAAAGAAUGUUCUUAAGUUGUUAAUGCUUAAUGGGAAUGGAACAAAGGCUGUUGCAGCCAGAGAUUAUACAAAAGCACAUAUUAAAUACCACAGAUUUCUUGACACCCCCACCCCCUCCAAAAUGAGGUUGACAAUGCUUCCUAAAGGGCAAUGCCUAAUAACACAAUGCAGCAUGGUAAUGUAGUGUAAGAGAAUACGCAGCUUAGUACGCACUAUAAAUGAGGAGUUUUCAGUGAUGAUGAUGGAGCCAUACACAUUAGCAUCAGACUGAGCAGGACUUUUAAAAGCCCUUCUGUCUCCCUGUGUUUUCUUAAUAUUGCAGAGGGCUAUUAAGCAUAUAUUGAAAAGAGCUAGAAGUGGACCCAAUUGUAAUUUAUAAUAAGCUAAUCAAGUACCAAUAAAGAACACUGUGCAAAGAUGCUAAUAAAGUUUCAAACACAACAAUGUGCCAUUGUUUAAAGCAAUUGCCCAGCUUUUAACCCUAUUGCAGUGAUGAUUCCCAGCAGGUUGCUGUUCUCUGCGGGUGUUCCCUGCAAAUCAUUUGGACAGCAAAGACCAUGAAAUUAAUCCAGAGCCCCCCAAAAAAGGAUGAAUCUACUUGGUGCCCUUCACAGCCAUAUGUGCAGGCUACAUCAAACCUUGCAUUUGUUUUGCUACCAUGGAAUGACAAAAAUGUCCUUGUCAGAUGGGUGGACAUGAGGUGUUCAGGUGCAUACAUAAAAGCAAAGCAAGCUGUUUGUACUUUUAACCGGCCAGGAAGGGAUUUGGGGCUUUUGAUUGCAUCAAAUGCUCCUUAGCAUAUAU